GACGAACGCUGGCGGCGUGCUUAACACAUGCAAGUCGAACGGAAAGGCCCUGCUUGCAGGGUACUCGAGUGGCGAACGGGUGAGUAACACGUGGGUGAUCUGCCCUGCACUUCGGGAUAAGCAUGGGAAACUGGGUCUAAUUCCGGAUAGGACCAUCGUUUAGUGUCGGUGGUGGAAAGUUCUUCGGUGAAGGAUGAGCUCGCGGCCUAUCAGCUUGUUGGUGGGGUAAUGGCCUACCAAGGCGUCGACGGGUGGCCGGCCUGAGAGGGUGGACGCCCACAUUAGGACUGGUACACAGCCCAGACUCAUAGAGGAUGCAGCAGUGGGGAGUAUUACACAAUGGGCGCAAUCCUGAUGCCGCGACGCAACGUGGGGGAUGAAGGCCUUCGGGUUGUAAACUCCUUUCAACCAUGACGAAGCGUAAGUGACGGUAGUGGUAGAAGAAACACCGGCUAACUACGUGCCAGCAGCCGCCGUAAGAC
rnacentral:rRNA from 1 species